rnacentral:rRNA from 1 species
GUGGGGAAUAUUGCACAAUGGGGGAAACCCUGAUGCAGCUACGCCGCGUGUGUGAUUGAAGGCCUUCGGGUUGUAAAGCACUGUUGUAGGGGAAGAAUUUUGACGGUACCCUAUGUAGAAAGCACCGGCUAACUCCGUGCCAGCAGCCGCGGUAAUACGGAGGGUGCAAGCGUUGCUCGGAAUUACUGGGCGUAAAGGGUGCGCAGGCGGUCUGUUAAGUCAGAUGUGAAAGCCCGGGGCUCAACCCCGGAACUGCAUCUGAAACUGGCAGACUUGAGGCAGAGAGAGGGAAGUGGAAUUCCUGGUGUAGAGGUGAAAUUCGUUGAUAUCAGGAGGAACACCAGCGGCGAAGGCGGCUUCCUGGCUCUGUUCUGACGCUGAGGCACGAAAGCGUGGGUAGCAAACAGG